UACAGAGGUCUCAAGCGUUGUUCGGAUUCAUUGGGCGUAAAGGGUGCGUAGGCGGCGUCGUAAGUCAGGUGUGAAAUCCCGGAGCUCAACUCCGGAACUGCACUUGAUACUGCGGUGCUUGAGGACUGGAGAGGAGAUCGGAAUUCACGGUGUAGCAGUGAAAUGCGUAGAUAUCGUGAGGAAGACCAGUGGCGAAGGCGGAUCUCUGGACAGUUCCUGACGCUGAGGCACGAAGGCCAGGGGAGCAAACGGG
rnacentral:rRNA from 1 species